AGGGUUUGUGUGCGAUAACGGCGGAGGGAGACGUAAGGAUGGAGACGGAGGGUUUCGUAUGGGUUUUCAGCUGGUGGUGAAGGUUGCGUGUAGUUGGUGGUUGACCGGCGGCUUUGAGGGUUGCGAUUGGGAACUGAAAAGAGAUUUCAGUAGCCCAUUUGGAGAUAGCGAACGGGUUGAGGGCGGUCGAUGAAUGAGGAUUUAUGUCGCGCCGGUGGGGUUGAGAGCAGGUGAGAAUGGUGAGGAAAGGGGUUUCCGCGGUGAGAUGGCGUAGUGGCUGAUGGAGGGUGAGCGGAAACGGAGUUGGCCGAUGGAGGAUUUGGAUUUGUGGAGAGGAGAUUGUGAGGGUUUCGGUGGGCGCGGCUAGGUUUUUUAGCUGAGAGUUGAGAGUGGGAUUUUGUGAGAGACCAUUUUUCUGAGUGAGCGCGUUUUGUGCGGAAUUUUACAGAGUGAAUGGAGUGUGGAAGCGUGAGUGAGAGAGUUCU
rnacentral:lncRNA from 1 species